GGCGCUGAUACCGAUAAGAGUCAACAGAUGUCGCUGCGAAAUAGCCAAUGCUAAUAUUAAGCUAGGUUUAAUACACGUAUAAACACAGACAGACGUACUGUAAUGUACUACACCAGUUGUGUCACACAUGAAGACAGACAGAGGAAGACUUUCAUCAGCCUCCACUAGAGGCAGACCGGAGAUGCUCUCUGUUCCUCUGAUCUGUACGCAUCUCUGUCUCACACACACAGGUCAGUGAACGCCUCGAUAGCUUCGUAAACAAGCAGAUAUUAUCGCUCAGGCUCAGCAUAGUAGAUAUUAUACUGAUUAUAAAGGGCUUGAGGACGGAUUCUGACCAACUAAUGAACCUAAUCGCCUAAAUUGAGAGAAAUUCCGUAGUAUCACAAGCAGAAAAACACUAGAUUGCAGUAUGAGAAACAGGAGCUCAGGUGACUCACAAACCCGUGAUGUGACUCAUUUGUUACUUUCUGGAUCAAGAUCUGCAAGGGAACAUCCUGAAUUUAGUGUCACCGUCGUCCUUUCCUGUCCUGCCCUGUUCACCCUCCUUGAUAUUCGCCUGGCACUUUGUCCUGGCGUGAAGGAGUUGGUCCCAUGAGGUCAUGCUGCUUCUAAGGAGCUGUGCUUGGUCUGCGACACGUCUCAGGUAGAUAGCAACAUGUCAUGGCUUGGCGUCCUCCCAUUACUCACUCUGGUGCUAUAUCUUUCCCAGAGUGACAAUACUAAGACAAAUGCGAGCUCGUGGUGUGAGCUAAGAUGUGAUUCAUUCCUCCAAGCCUUCGUCUUCUGUGGCUCCGAUGUGACUCUGUUGUAGUUGUGUUGCUUGUGCGUACCUAAUGCACUUUUUGGAGGCGGACGUGGGUCAACGUGUGUCCCCCCACUCGCCUGUCGUGAAGUAAUCUGUCGUUUGUUAUGUUCUAAAUCAUAUCAGUCAAAGCUUGACCAAAAGCUGUACUCAUGAACCAGGAUGACCUGUGACCUCUUCAUACAGUACGUCUCCAUUGUCACAUUUUCAUAAAUAUCCACAAUUAUGUUUUACAAAUACUACUGUAAUUUGUUUAUUUCAGCUGUCAGUGGUUCUACCGUUGCGGCUUCUAACUUUUGAAUACGCUUUAACACUGCAGUGGAUUUAUCCUCUAACAGAGCUUGGUAGUACACAUGAUAAUUAGAUUACUGUAAUCUAAUUAUGCAUAACACAGCGCUCCACACCCUCCUAAUAGGAAGGAUUCUUAUAAAUUCACCUCGUCUCAGCAGCAGAUUUCUCAUUCGCACGCGGGGCCGGGCGCACAUCGCACACAAGGUUCCCGCUGUCGUGUUGUGAUGCCUGCGUCUCCCUUUCAAUCGCGCCAUCCAUCUGUGCUCUUCACUUUCUGACUUUGUCUCUCCUCUGAGUGCGUCUCAGCCAUAUUGUGGUUUGAAAGGUUUCUGCUUCUAAUGAGCCAAUUGUUCUCGUGUUCCGUUCCCCUCGGGGAGCGUUGUGCAGCUAACAACAUUCUGCUCGAAAUCAUUUUAAAACAUAUUCACUGCGCCAGGGAGGGAUGGAGGCCAACAAAACAACAAUGCCUUGGAGCACGUACAAAAUGAAAAAUGUGUUAAUGACAGUCUAGCUCGCAAAGUGACAGCGCAUUCUUUUCCUGUCAAUUAGACCUUGGUUAUUCAAAAGCAAUUUGCAACUCCCUGCAGAGUGAAAUGUGUGCCAUCUCCCAGGCCUUGCUCUGUGAUUGUGUAAGUGAUAUAUUCAUUCCAUUCCUGUGUGUGUGUGUCCUAGUUCGAGACGCAGAAGUGAUAUCAAGGUUAGUAACAAGCUAUUGUGAGAUGAGGCCGUGGUGCUUUAUCCAGGCAGCAUCUUCCCAUGCAAACAGAAAGGUGUAGGUCUAUUUUGGUGCAUUUGUGUGUGUGGGGGGGUGGGUGUGGGGGUGUGCACACGCACCCUUGUGGCCAGCGUUUACAAGGGGUAUUGAUACAGCUGGCAUUCAUGGCCCUGAUUAAUUGCCAUGGCAUUUGGCCGUUCUUUGUAAAUGCCACAUCCCAUGCUGAGCGCUCGCUGAAUGGAUGUCUGCCCGUUGCACCUACCCUUUCGUCCUUUUCCCUCUCCUCUCCUUCCCUUUCUUCCUCGGCCCCCUUCCCCACUUCCUCCUACGCCUCAUGAAAGGUUAGCUGCACUUUAUCGGCUCCUAACUGAUCCCACGCCGCACACAUGCGCGGCCCCUCCACAGUUUUGUCCAUUGCGGGGUUUUUUCUCUCUCCGUGUCCGACAGCACCGGUUCAAAGGUAUCUUAAGGUAACAUCCUCUGCGUUUGUGUCUUUAAUCUACAGUAAACGUGUUAUGAUUAGCGCGGGUGAAAAAGCCCUUCCUUCCUUGUGUGUAUCCCCCAAAGACCCAACUUCAGCUUGGCUCAAUACCUUCAAGAAAAAAAGAUAUGAAGAAUUAGCUUUCAUCCUCAAGUGAAUUAGUUUGCUCUAUCUUAAUGAGGUUUGCCAUGUCAGAGGGAACAGUUCAGGCCCUGCAUGCUAAACAGACUGAAAUUGGAAUAUAGUGUUAGCUCCCUAACUGCAAAAAUACCUUCUCUCCAGCUCUGAUGCCAACAAUGCCACGCAAUUACCCCUCACACACAAGUUUAUCUUGUCAUUCCCAAAUGGGGAUGGAAGACCAAGCGGAGGAGAAGUCGUCUUAUUUCUUUGUUUUUGGAAAACUAAUUCCGAAAUCUAAUUAACUGAAGAAGAAACAUGUCGCCACUUUGGUUGCAAACAUCGAACAUAGUUAUGCAAAUGACCCCAAAGAUUGCAGAAUGUGAUUUGACAGCAUCUCAUUCUGGAUGGUGCGGGGCCAGAUACAAAGAUUACUCAGCCGUGUCUGAGUGGAGGCAAACAGAAUGUGAUGAGCCUGGUAAUUCAUUGUGCUGCUAUUUCUCCCGUUUGACUACAGACGGCUCAUUAAGGGGCAAGGUGUCACCCGGGCCGGACAGAUAGGCAGACGGGACCAUUUUUCUAAUAGGCCGCUCUCUGCUCUGUCUGCAUCAGCUUUUUCUUCCUGCUUUUUGCGUUGCUGGCAUAAUCUAGCUUUUCUUAUACGAGGUGCCAAAUAGGAUUUAACACAAUUCAUCAUUUUGCUCCACCGAGGGGUGAGGGAGAUGCUAUUUCAUCUUCCCCCUUGUCUUGAGUUUGCUUACAGGGGUUAUACCAGGGCAGCCGUGCAGAGAUGGCCAGAGGGCUGCAAUAAGCACCAGGGGUCUGACUUUCAUUCUCACAGGUAUUAAACACACCUAUUUUACCUAACUAAAUAUAACGCCAGCUCACCACAGCCUCCCUACGACUGACAAACGCAGAACACAAUGAAAAUGCGCCCUUGCGGCACUGACCUUUCUGUUUGAUUUCAUUCGGUCCCAUUCUCGUCACAGCCUCUCAGCUCCUGAUUACAUGCCAGCAUUUGUUUGCAGAGAGCCAAACAAAAAAGACGAAGGCACAAACAAGUAAUUAAUUAUUGAGGACGCCAAACCUGACCGCUUGCUAAUCUACAUAGGCGUUUAAAGCCCCUUAAUUUAUAAUUCAGGUCCUUGUCUCACUCCACUCGAAGCUGGGAUUGGGAGGCUGUGUGCACUUCACUAAGGUGUGUCUGUACAGAAGGUCCUGCUUUGACUCUUAUACUGGAACGCUUGUGGUGAAUAAUAAUAAUAGAUAGACCAAAGGUUGUGCGUGUACCCCAAGGAAGUGUAUGCAAAUGUAUAUUAUGUUGUAUUUAUCCAUAUUAUAAUUAUAAGGCACUCUGGGGUUUGACAAACCGACAAGUGUGGCAGAUAUACUGAGUCUCUGUGCUUUCGAAAUGGAGAAUCACAUGGUGUGAAGUGAGUUUCGGCUAAUUAGCCUGAGAUGUGAGGCUGGCUCUCGCCCUGCCUGGGUUGUGUUCCUCAGGACUCCAGACAGCGAUGGAGAAGGAUGCUCUUUGAUCUGUGGAUCCCACAGUCUGAUAACAUUUCUACAACCUUUGCAGUGUGCGUGCUUGUAGUGCAUACGACUCAUCCAGGCAGUUCAAACCCAGCUGACUUUUUACAUUUAUGCCUUUUCCGCUCGACAGACAGUAUAACUGCAUUUCAGUCUGGUUGCAGAUCCUUCAGCGCAGAUAAGAUUUGUCAUAAAAUGUCACAUUCAACUUUUGAUUUAAUCCAACCUUUUUAUAUAUAUAUAAAAAUAAACAGAACAAAGCACAACUUUAAAGGGACUGGGAUUUAUUUCCGCAGUAAUUACACAAAUCAUAAAUGUAUCACCGGUUUAGAAUUUCCGUUUAUUCAUUUACCUGCUUUUAAAAUCAAGGCAGUUGUCAUUUAAAUCAAAGUGAUUUUUCAUUCCAGUGAAAGAUCUGUUCCUUCCAGAGCACUCCUCCCUCUGCCAGCUGAAGAUCAAACAACAUGCUCAAAAACUUCAUAAUGGAAAAGGCCAUUGAUUUUUCUCUCUGUUGAUUUUUCUUGGACUGUAUCACACACAUUCUAGAUAAUAUUCUGGCAAUUAAAAUGUUUCCAAACAGAGCUUCUCUUUCUCUGCGGCUCCAUUUCAAAUCUGUAAGCAUUGAUAGGAGUAGGAAGCAUCAUCCAUUUGAUCGACCUAUUUAAAGCAUGGAAUGAGUCGGUGAUCCCAGAAUUCUUUCAAGCAUUGAACAACAUUUAUUC